rnacentral:misc_RNA from 1 species
CGCUCGCGCUUUUAGUGCGCCACGGCACCCUUGAUAGAAGAGAGGGACGCCCACCUGGCCGUCUCUCUCCAUCUCCACCCACCUCUCACCACACCAUACCGCGCCCGUCACGCAGAUACUCUCGUGCACACACGCACAUCAAUUCACUUGGCGGCACAACAAAGUAGAAACAGAACCGAAAAGAAAGCCACCGAUGCGCCGUCAGCAGUCCUUUACCGUGAAGGCCGCUGCUGGUGCCCCCGCCACCGCGGCAGUGCCGGUCGAAGCGGAGUGCCUCGAUGCCCCCCGCGGAUUCGGCAGUGGCGUAGACAUUAGCACGUACCGGUACCUAGACGAGCUAUGGGCAGCAGCGCUUCUUCAGGCGGAGGCGUCCGUGUUGGCGUUGCCACACACCGGCAGCAGUGGGCUGCAGGGAGCCAAGCACACUUCUGAGGCCGACAAUGCGGGGAGGAAGGAAACCUCGAUAAAACAGGCGGCGGACAAGACGGGGGUCUCUUCGAUGUGCAACGAAAGUCUCCUGACGUUGUCUCCCCUCCCUCGCGCACCAGUGCUACCCAGCGGCUCGGCAGCACAUUCGCCAGUGCCACAGCCGCCGCCACCAGUCGUCGUGGCUCGCAGAUCCAUGCCAUCUGCUACUAGCAAGCAGACAUGGAUGCGAGUGGAAGCGCAGCCGAACUUGAAGCGAAACGCGUACACCGCCCGUCGGGGCGUCGCGUGGGUGGUGCAGUAACGUUUCGGCACCCAUCGUACAACAAGAUCCAGCGCGCUCUCUUCCUUUUUGUGGCGGUGCUUGAAUCUCCGUGUAUGCUUGUGCGCAGAUGUGCAGGGAGACGUGUACGGCUCGUCAUCGCAUCCCGGUCCCCAACCCUACCUCCACACGCUUCUCCUUCAGUCGUCGUCAUCUCCUCCUUUCCUGCCGCGUUGGGUAGAGCGAGAAUGUCAGCAUCGAGCCAAGCUGCAACAGCAUUCGCAAUGAUGAGAGGAAUGCAUGCGCCACUCAUCCAUGCUUGCACGUGCGCCCAUCCUCAGCGGUGGCGCUUCAGGCCAGCGUGCUUGCAUGCCCUCUCUCGCAUCGGCAUUAACCGCGUUUGUGGUUCCUCGUCACCCCCUCCCUCCUCCUGCGCACAUCUCCCUCGUUUUGUGCGACUGCCCUGCCUCUUUCCGCAUCGGCCCCCGCUCGUCCAUCUCUCUCUCUCUCUCUUUCACACUGUGCCCUCUGCUGCGGCUUGUCUGCUCUGCUUCUCACAUGAACAUCACGGUGUGGCUGCCAAG